rnacentral:rRNA from 1 species
CAGAGAUGGAUUGGUGCCUUCGGGAACUGUGAGACAGGUGCUGCAUGGCUGUCGUCAGCUCGUGUUGUGAAAUGUUGGGUUAAGUCCCGCAACGAGCGCAACCCUUAUCCUUUGUUGCCAGCGAUUAGGUCGGGAACUCAAAGGAGACUGCCAGUGAUAAACUGGAGGAAGGUGGGGAUGACGUCAAGUCAUCAUGGCCCUUACGACCAGGGCUACACACGUGCUACAAUGGCGCAUACAAAGAGAAGCGACCUCGCGAGAGCAAGCGGACCUCAUAAAGUGCGUCGUAGUCCGGAUUGGAGUCUGCAACUCGACUCCAUGAAGUCGGAAUCGCUAGUAAUCGUGGAUCAGAAUGCCACGGUGAAUACGUUCCCGGGCCUUGUACACACCGCCCGUCACACCAUGGGAGUGGGUUGCAAAAGAAGUAGGUAGCUUAACCUUCGGGAGGGCGCUACCA